UUUUGGUUGGCGACUCAAAAAAAUGCUCAUUCAUGUAGGCACCAGCUUAGAUACAUCUCAAAUGGAGCUGUGUGGUCAGUAUAUUGGUCCAGCCAUUACUGGACAGGUCAUCGUUAUACCAUGCAACACAAUACCAGAAGGACAAAUCGUAAAAUUAACGAGUUUAAAUACCGCAUCAGAGGUCUUUCACCUUGCUGAAGUUGAAGUGUAU
rnacentral:lncRNA from 1 species